GGCACUGUCGCAGACCUUGUGCUUCUGCGUUUUACGACUUUAAAAGCUGUGCAACGAGGGGAGAAAUAAUUUUAAAAAAAUAAACGGGGGGAUUUUACACAGAGGAAAUUGAAAGCAGAGCUGGGAGUGCAUAGCCCAAACAUGUGCAUUUACAAGAAUACCACAGCCACUGGAACACUGUGUAGGAGUCGCGAGGUCACCAUGGCAACCAGAAAAAAAUAAGAGUGCGACUGCUAAAUAACCCACCAUGGGGCCAAAGAAAGUUGCGAAUGUCAGCACUUUGACAAAGAAACACUACUGGAUCCAGGAAAGAACUCAGAGGGUCAACAAUAGUCUUCAAUAAAAGGUGCGUCCCCUCCAUCACGGGGCACCGAGCUGGCACGUUUGCCCCUGUGGUGGCGGUCUGAGUGGUCCUCACUACGGCUACGCCGUAUCCUGCCUUGCGGCUCGCUGAUGCUCUUGCUGCGACAAAGCCUGUUGAUCACGUUCUGGGAGACGGAGUCGUCGAAGAGCUGUCGGUGCUUCUUGGGAAUGAAGAUUCUGGCCAACAUGGCAGCAUGCGGAGGGAAACAGGAAGCUCCCUGUGUGCGUCCCCGAGUCACGCUGUGUGUCGUGCGCUCCUGGAUCUUCCCUGUCUUCCUCGUGCUUCCUGGUUCUCGACUCCUCGCUUGCCCCCGGACUACGACGACUCUCUCCUGCCGCCCGACCACGCUUCCGCUCCUGGACAAACCCUGCCUGCCUUGCCCUUGUCUGACAGCACCGCUCCUCUCAACACGCACCUCCAACACUUACGGUAAAACCUUCCAGUUAAAUUCUACACAUAGUCUGACACCCAUUUCCUGUUUGGUUACAUACACAUCUGAUAUAUACAUAUAUUGAUAUAUAUAAUAUAAUAUAUAAUAUCAUAAUAUAUUAUACAAUAUAAUAUAUUAUGUACAUUAUAUAUAUAUAUAAUAAUAUAUAUAUAUUUAUAUAGAAAUAUAGAAUUUCCCUUUUAAAUAAAUACGCCCCAGGCU